UACGUAGGGUGCGAGCGUUGUCCGGAAUUAUUGGGCGUAAAGAGCUCGUAGGCGGUUUGUCGCGUCGACUGUGAAAACCCGAGGCUUAACCUCGGGCCUGCAGUCGAUACGGGCAGACUAGAGUUCGGUAGGGGAGACUGGAAUUCCUGGUGUAGCGGUGAAAUGCGCAGAUAUCAGGAGGAACACCGGUGGCGAAGGCGGGUCUCUGGGCCGAUACUGACGCUGAGGAGCGAGAGCGUGGGGAGCGAACAGG
rnacentral:rRNA from 1 species